rnacentral:rRNA from 1 species
CCUACGGGAGGCAGCAGUGGGGAAUAUUGCGCAAUGGGCGAAACCCUGAUGCAGCAACGCCGCGUGAGUGAAGAAGGCUUUCGGGUUGUAAAGCUCUAUUAUGAGGGAAGAGAAGAAGGGUGCCUGACUAAGAAACCCCGGCGAACUACGUGCCAGCAGCCGCGGUAAUACGUAGGGGGCAAGCGUUAUGCGGAUUUACUGGGUGUAAAGGGGGCGUAGACGGGAGUGCAAGUCUGGAGUGAAAGCCGGGGGCUCAACCGCCGAACUGCACUGGAAACUGUACGGCUGGAGUGCAGGAGAGGUCAGUGGAAUUCCUAGUGUAGCGGUGAAAUGCGUAGAUAUAAGGAAGAACACCAGUGGCGAAGGCGGAUGACUGGACGGUAACUGACGUUGAGGCGCGAAAGCGUGGGGAGCAAACAGGAUUAGAUACCCGGGUAGUC